rnacentral:rRNA from 1 species
GAAUUUUCAGGAUGAUCCGAGUGGCGGACGGGUGAGUAACGCGUGGGUACCUGCCUCAUACAGGGGGAUAACGGUUAGAAAUGACUGCUAAUACCGCAUAAGACCGCAUGGUAAAAACUCCGGUGGUAUGAGAUGGACCCGCGUCUGAUUAGCUAGUUGGUGGGGUAACGGCCCACCAAGGCGACGAUCAGUAGCCGACCUGAGAGGGUGACCGGCCACAUUGGGACUGAGACACGGCCCAGACUCCUACGGGAGGCAGCAGUGGGGGAUAUUGCACAAUGGAGGAAACUCUGAUGCAGCGACGCCGCGUGAGGAAGAAGUAUUUCGGUAUGUAAACUCUAUCAGCAGGGAAGAAAAUGACGGUACCUGACUAAGAAGCCCCGGCUAACUACGUGCCAGCAGCCGCGGUAAUACGUAGGGGGCAAGCGUUAUCCGGAUUUACUGGGUGUAAAGGGAGCGUAGACGGCGACACAAGUCUGAAGUGAAAUACCUGGGCUCAACCGGGAACUGCUUUGGAAACUGUGUUGCUAGAGUGCUGGAGAGGUAAGCGGAAUUCCUAGUGUAGCGGUGAAAUGCGUAGAUAUUAGGAAGAACACCAGUGGCGAAGGCGGCUUACUGGACAGUAACUGACGUUGA